rnacentral:rRNA from 1 species
AUGUUGCUCUUUUCACUCAUCAUCUCGAAUUGCGAGGACCGUGUUCUUUUCAUGCUUAUCCAUUUAACCGGAGUGUUGUGUUCUCAUUCAAGUUCUCUCAUCUUAUCAAGUUUUCCUUCUCUUUUCUACCGGAGUGCUGCCCAAAUUCUCUUGUAUAUCUUGCUUCUCUUUUCAACUGGAGUGGUUUUCAAUAUCUAUCUUAUCACUAAACCUACAAGGUUCUCGGAUGUUCCUUGUUCCUCUUUUCUAACGGAUUGUUUGCAAUCUCGUUCAUCUCUAAUUGCUCAACCUCUCAAGGUUCGUGGUUUCACUCAUUUGUCGAAGAAGCAACUUAGUUUUACCUCUUCUCUUCCUUUCUGUUUUCCCUCCGGUGCCAUCCUAGAUCUCGGGACGAGAUCCUCUCGUAGUGGUGGAGUGUUGUAA